GGCUGACAAUCAUCAACUAUUCGAUGUACGGGGUUAUCUUGGGACUCACUGGUUGCACCAAAAGUUAAAGGAGGGAUGGGAUUCAAGGACCUGCAGCUUUUUAACCUAGCACUACUUGGCAAGCACGGGUGGCGCUUGAUGACGAAUCCCAACUCUCUGUGCUCGCGGGUCUUAAAAGGUAGAUACUUUUAUUCCUGCGAUUUCAUGCAAGCCACUGCACCUAAGUACUCAUCGGCCGUGUGGCGGGCGAUAAUCGCGGGCAGAGAAGCUUUGAAGUCGGGAUUGAUUAAGCGCAUUGGAAGUGGCACGCCCGUUUCUAUCUGGGAGGACAAAUGGAUCCCCGAUACCAGAACGAUGAGUCCGGUUGCUCAUAUUGGUAAUGCGCAGUUACAUCAUGUGUCUGAUCUUAUCGAUUCUGAAACCUGGCUCUGGAAAGACCAGGUGAUCAGAGACAACUUCAUUCCACCCGAUGCAGACGCCAUUCUGAAUAUCCCAAUAAGGACUGGUGGUGGUGAUGAUAUUCUGGCAUGGGCUUUUGAAAAGUCAGGUUCAUAUACUGUCAAAUCAGCUUAUCGUGCUCUCAUGACUCAGAACGAGCAAUUGGCUCUAGAGGAAGGGACGGUAGUCGAAGCAUCAACGACAGAAAAACAGCUAUGGACCACAUUAUGGAAAUUGAAGGUUCUGCCAAAAGUGAGAGUGUUUUGGUGGAGGGUUUUAUGA
rnacentral:rRNA from 1 species